rnacentral:rRNA from 1 species
UACGUAGGGUGCAAGCGUUGUCCGGAAUUAUUGGGCGAAAGAGCUCGUAGGCGGUCUGUCGCGUCGGGCUGUGAAAUCCCGAGGCUCAACCUCGGGUCUGCAGUCGAUACGGGGCAGACUAGAGUGCUGUAGGGGAGACUGGAAUUCCUGGUGUAGCGGUGAAAUGCGCAGAUAUCAGGAGGAACACCGGUGGCGAAGGCGGGGUCUCUGGGGCAGUAACUGACGCU